rnacentral:rRNA from 1 species
UCGGGUGGGUUGCCGAUGCACGUCGCAGACCCGAAGUGGCGGGCGGCAGAGUAAAGCGGCGCCGAGCAACGACGCCGGCCGCCCGAGCCCGUGGCCGGAUAGCCGGGAUCGACGCGGCCGGGGGGUGCRAAUCGACGCGGCCGCCCGGUUCCGAUACUCGCGCUCUUUCCCGCUAUACGCCCAAGACGGUGGGGCGAAGGUGAGGUCGCCGGACGUCGACGAGAAAGAACCGCUCGCACGUGUAAAGGUACACGCUUGGUUCUCGUCCGCGAGAAAGGGCAGUACGUCGCGGCCGCAAGAGCAUCCGACCCC